AAGAAAUAGCUUUUCCUCUUCAUUUUCUUCUUUUGUCACUGCCGAAACACCAUAGAAAUAGCUUGGAGAAUUGGUUGAGCAUAGGAGCUUCCAUGAUUUGAGUACAUUUCUGAUUUUGUGUAUGACGGGGGUUUGGAGUGGAGAUGGUAUUGGAGGGAGAUAUCAACAUUUUACCCAAGUAAACCGGGGUUCAACAUUUGUUGCGAACUCUCGUGUUUUAAUUUCUAUUUGGCGUGAUUGGGUGGAUCAGCUCUUACGAGCUUCUAUUCAGCUUUCGAGCUUAUGUUGGCGUGUUCGGGAAGACCAGCUCUUAUGAGCUUCUGUUGACAAUGCAAUCGUACCCAUUUUCAGAAGGUUGGACGAUUGGAUUGACACUCAAGUCACACCAUUCAGUUUAUCUCGGUAGUUUUUGAAACGUUAAAUUCAGAUUAUAUGGCAUGUAUAAGCUCUUGUGCUAUUUUGGUUAAUGUUUGGCUUAUGUAAAUGUUAUGAAUGAAAUUUUGUGCAAAUAACUAAUUUGCA